CAAUUCCAAUAUGGCGAAGACGGGGAGUGCGAUAAUGCAUGAAUAUUUCAAAUAAAUGAAAUUUUGAGGUUUAUAUAAUGCAUAAAACUUUUUCUGGUGAACUGAGUAACGAAGACGAAGCACGUAUUGCAAUACUAUUUGAUAAACUAGAUAUAGAUGGCGACGGUCGCAUAAAUAUAACUGAUUUAACGACUGCUUUACAUAAAUAUCAAGGAUUUCACGUUCCAGGACAAGUUCAAAGCCCUAUAAUAAUUAAGUAAACUCUUAGCUCAGAAAAGACAUUGAUUACACAAUCUUUAAUGUAAUGUUUUUUUUUACCAAUUUAUUCAGACUUUUUUCGACUCCUACGACAAAAAUAAAGAUGGCCAUAUAGAAUUUUGCGAUUUUGUUCAGUUUGUCAUUGACCAUGAAAAAAUUUUACGCCUCUCAUUUGGAAAAUUAGACCACAACAGAGAUGGUAAGAACUAUUUAAAUUUAUAAUACAUCAUAGGUUUUUUUUACGUUAACAUAUGGGCAUUGUUUGAAAUAUAGAGAUUUUUUUGCUUGAAAUAUUUAAGUAUACAAACUUCAUUUUGAAAAUAUUAUUGAUUUAUAACAAAUUAUUGAAAUAUUUCACAAUUUUUGAAGGCCUAAUCUUACUAUUGCACUCCUUAACCGUAAAUAUAAUACUUAAUAGAAAAUCAAUAGUCUAAAAGUAACAUUACUUUCAAUAUGGCCAUUGACCUUUAUUUAGAACGUAAUUUCUCUCAAUCGUAAAAUUUGAUUCACAAAACUGAACUAGGUUGUCUAGAAAGAGAAGAGACAGUGUCCGUUAAAUGAUACAUCAAAAAUGAGAUGGAAUUUUGAACUUUAAUUUUUGGAAUUUGCUUCAAUUUUUGACGCACUUUUGUUAUUUUGUUAUUAAUACUGCGUAGAAAGAAGUAAAUUUUAGUUGAGUCUAAUACAUUGUUCUAGAAAUCAUAAAAAUAAUCAUGUAGUGACUCAUAAAAGUAAAAUUUGUUAUUAAAUUGAUUAUCUUGAACAAUGAAUGAAUAUCAUUGGUCAGCAGAAAAUAAUAACUUUUUAUUGCACAAUUUUGAGACAAAUUCAUAACCUUAUUAUGCUAUUAUUAAUAGAAUUCGAUUAAAAAGCUAAAAUUUUUCCACGUGUUGUGAAUUAUUUAUUGAACUUGAAUAUUAUUGUGGUUGUAUGACGAAGUAUUCAUGUGUAAAUAGAAAAGAACUAUAUUUACGACAAUUUACUAUAUCAAAACAUCAAAUCUGUAGCUUACGCAUUAACUGCGCAAUACAUAGUAUUUUGAAUAAUAAUGAAUGUAAUAUACAUUUAAGAGAAGUACAGUGUCAUUGUUCGUUACUUUCCCGUUGACGAAAGGAGUACUUGAUUUGGAGGAAGUUGUUCUCGCCUUUCACAGGUUGGGAGUGGACAUUUCACGAGGGGAAGCGGAGGCGAUGAUAAGACAGAUGGAUCGUGAUGAAACGUUAUUAAUAUCAUAUGCUGAAUGGCGGGAUUUUCUCUUGCUUCAUCCGGCUAAAGAUAUAUUUGACCUAGUACACUAUUGGCGUCAUGCCUCAAUUAUGGAUCUUGGUGAAAGUGUCUCUGUCCCUGAUGAUUUUACGAGGGGCGAAAUCGAAUCAGGAAUGUGGUGGAGACAUUUGGUAGCUGGAGCAGCGGCGGGGGGAGUUUCCCGAACGUGUACUGCACCUUUGGACCGAUUAAAAGUUUUUCUUCAAGUGAAUAGUCGUAUGGGUAUUACCGCCGGUUUAAAUUAUAUGCUCAGUGAAGGUGGAUGGCUAUCGCUUUGGAGAGGAAAUGGAAUAAAUGUGGUGAAAAUUGCUCCUGAAACUGCUAUUAAAUUCAUGGCGUAUGAGCAAAUAAAGAGGCUGCUUAAAGAUAACAAUGAUAGAGAGUUAAGAGUAUUUGAACGCUUUAUGGCAGGAUCUGCUGCUGGCGCUAUAUCCCAAUCGGCUAUAUAUCCGUUGGAGGUUGUUAAAACCAGAUUAGCUUUGAGGAAGACAGGACAGUUCAAUGGAGUCACAGAUUGUGUUAGAGAUAUCAGAUGUCAUGGUGGUUUAGUGUCAUUUUAUAGGGGUUAUAUACCGAACCUGAUAGGAAUAAUACCUUAUGCUGGAAUAGAUUUGGCUGUCUACGAGACUUUAAAACGACUGUACAUGAGGAAAACAAGAAAUCAAGAUCCUGGAAUUAUUGUUCUGUUGUCAUGUGGAAUGCUAUCUUCAACAUGUGGACAAUUAGCUUCUUAUCCUUUGGCUUUAGUAAGAACUCGCCUUCAGAGUUAUAACACAGAUCCAAAGAAAACAAGGACUUUAACACUUAUUAGGAGUAUUAUACAAGAAGCAGGUUUGAAAGGAUUGUAUGGAGGAAUUACUCCAAACUUAAUGAAAGUUUUACCAGCUGUUGGCAUUUCAUACGUGGUCUAUGAACACGUCAGAAAGUUACUUGGAGUAAAGAUGACUUAGGCAAUUUUUAUUUUUUUUCCUUGUCAUUUUUUCAACUGACGCUAAUCCUGCAAAUUAUCAAACUUUUGCCAUAAAUCAAUGGUGAUGAUAUGUAUAUUUUGAUGUUUUAUGCAAAUUUUGCCGGUUAGUGAUGUAAAUACGAUUUCGUAUUUUUUUGUUUUGAGAUACUUCUUUUCUGACACUUUUCAUACAGGGUUAUUGAACCUCAGGUUCCUGUCUAAAAAAAAUCAGAUUAACAGAUUACAUUAACCCUCCAAAAUAUAAAACAGAGCAUAAAAGAAGUUGCAAAACUGAGCUAAGAAGGAAAAGCUUAAAAGGAAUACCCUUUAAAAAGCAUAAUAAUUUUAAUACACCCUAGGAAAUUUGUUUGUUCUUUUUUUAUUCUAAGCCUGCAAAAUGUAAGAAACUUGUGGUAUGCAUGUUUUAUUACGUUAUUAAUGUAUAUAUCACACUGCUUGAUCAACUAUUCCUGUAAAUAGAAUUUCAGUUUGCCUCAAGAAGGAAAUUUUUUUCAAAAUUUAUUUUUUUUUGUCUAUCUGUAAGAACACUGACACCGAGACUUAACAAAUGCUUAGAUGAUUCAGUAAAUUUCAAAUAUUUAUCAGCAAGCAAGUUUUUUCAAAAUAUUCUCUUCAUUUCCAUACCAUCUUUCAAAGAUAAUCCAUCAGCAUGUGAAAUUUGAGUCUAUUUACAUCGUAACCGGAAAUGACGGGGAAGGAAUAUUCAAUAAUAAUUAUAAACAUAAUUGAGAAGUUAUGAUUAUAAUAUUUUACUUGUCUUUUCUAAAUUAUACUGAUGCAAAAUUUUCAAUUGUUCUCUUAAAGCAAUCUACUUUUUUCUUAUUAGGCUUGUUUGAUUUUUCUAUUUAGACUAUUUAUAAUUUAUAAAAAUGGCA
rnacentral:misc_RNA from 1 species